rnacentral:rRNA from 1 species
GGAGGGUGCGAGCGUUAAUCGGAAUUACUGGGCGUAAAGUGCGCGUAGGCGGUUUGUUAAGUCAGCUGUGAAAGCCCCGGGCUCAACCUGGGAACUGCAGUUGAUACUGGCCGACUAGAGUACGAGAGAGGGAGGUAGAUUUCCAUGUGUAGCGGUGAAAUGCGUAGAUAUAUGGAGGAAUACCAGUGGCGAAGGCGGUCUCCUGGCUCGAUACUGACGCUGAGGUGCGAAAGCGUGGGGAUCAAACAGGAUUAGAUACCCUGGUAGUCCACGCCGUAAACGAUGUCUACUAGCCGUUGGGAGACUUGAUUUCUUAGUGGCGCAGCUAACGCAAUAAGUAGACCGCCUGGGGAGUACGGCCGCAAGGUUA